AAAUGUAUACAAUGACAUUGCAAUUAUACGCCUAAGGACACUAUUUAAUGGAAACCCGUUUCAUGAGGAGCCGGCAUGUCUUUGGGAUGAUCCGGGCUCUGCACAUAAUGUUACAGCCAUGGGCUACGGGAACACUCAAUUUGCUGGCGUAUCCUCCCCCUUUUUGAUGAAAACGAAUUUAUUUACAAUUGAGAACAGCGAGUGCCAAUUACACUAUGAGCC